rnacentral:rRNA from 1 species
AUUGAACGCUGGCGGCAGGCCUAACACAUGCAAGUCGAACGGUAACAGGAAGAAGCUUGCUUCUUUGCUGACGAGUGGCGGACGGGUGAGUAAUGUCUGGGAAACUGCCUGAUGGAGGGGGAUAACUACUGGAAACGGUAGCUAAUACCGCAUAAUGUCGCAAGACCAAAGAGGGGGACCUUCGGGCCUCUUGCCAGCGGAUGUGCCCAGAUGGGAUUAGCUAGUAGGUGGGGUAACGGCUCACCUAGGCGACGAUCCCUAGCUGGUCUGAGAGGAUGACCAGCCACACUGGAACUGAGACACGGUCCAGACUCCUACGGGAGGCAGCAGUGGGGAAUAUUGCACAAUGGGCGCAAGCCUGAUGCAGCUAUGCCGCGUGUAUGAAGAAGGCCUUCGGGUUGUAAAGUACUUUCAGCGGGGAGGAAGGGAGUAAAGUUAAUACCUUUGCUCAUUGACGUUACCCGCAGAAGAAGCACCGGCUAACUCCGUG